rnacentral:rRNA from 1 species
CCUACGGGUGGCAGCAGUGAGGAAUAUUGGUCAAUGGUCGGGAGACUGAACCAGCCAAGCCGCGUGAGGGAUGAAGGUACAGAGUAUCGUAAACCUCUUUUGUCAGGGAACAAAGGCGGGGACGUGUCCCCGGAUGAGUGUACCUGAAGAAAAAGCAUCGGCUAACUCCGUGCCAGCAGCCGCGGUAAUACGGAGGAUGCGAGCGUUAUCCGGAUUUAUUGGGUUUAAAGGGUUCGAAGGCGGUCUGUUAAGUCAGCGGUAAAAGCCCGGGGCUCAACCCCGGCCCGCCGUUGAAACUGGCAGUCUCGAGUUGGAGAGAAGUAUGCGGAAGGCGCGGUGUAGCGGUGAAAUGCAUAGAUAUCGCGCAGAACUCCGAUUGCGAAGGCAGCAUGCCGGCUCCACACUGACGCUGAGGCACGAAAGCGUGGGUAUCGAACAGGAUUAGAUACCCUUGUAGUC